rnacentral:rRNA from 1 species
GGCUAACGCUGGCGGCGUGUCUUAGCCAUGCAAGUCGAGCGGACUUAUGGGGUAACUUAUAAGUCAGCGGCGGACGGCGGAGUAACACGUAGCUAACCUACCCUCUGGACGGGGAUAACCUACCGAAAGGUGGGCUAAUACCCGAUGCAGUCAUCCUGUAUAGGGGUGAUGAAAGGUGGGCUUCUGUUUACAAGCUCAUGCUGGAGGAGGGGGCUGCGGCCUAUCAGGUAGUUGGUAGGGUAAUAGCCUACCAAGCCGAUGACGGGUAGCCGGCCUGAGAGGGUGACCGGCCCGAGGGGCACUGAGAUACGGGUCCCACUCCUACGGGAGGCAGCAGGCUAGAAAUUUGGGCAAUGGGGGAAACCCUGACCCAGUGACGCCGCGUGCAGGAAGGAGCCCUUCGGGGUGUAAACUGCUGUCGUGUAGGGAGAAGGGUACUAAGGUGAACAAUCUUAGUACUUGACGGUACUACAGGAGGAAGCCCAGGCUAACCUCGUGCCAGCAGCCGCGGUAAAUAGCGUACU